rnacentral:rRNA from 1 species
GAUGAACGCUGGCGGCGUGCUUGAUACAUGCAAGUCGAACGCAUCGGCAAAGCCGAGGUGUCCUGGCGGAACCGGAGGGCGAGAAAUCGUUCAAAGGGGACAAAGGGGCAAAGAGGCGGAGCUGGUGAGUGGCGGACGGGUGAGUAACACGUAGGUGAUCUGCCUCAAAGUGGGGGAUAACUGUUCGAAAGGGCAGCUAAUACCGCAUGUGGCCCUUGGGAGACCGAGGAAGAAAGGCGAGAGUCGCUUUGAGAUGAGCCUGCGGCCGAUUAGCUAGUUGGUGAGGUAAAGGCUCACCAAGGCGAAGAUCGGUAGCUGGUCUGAGAGGAUGAUCAGCCACACUGGGAUUGAGAACGGCCCAGACUCCUACGGGAGGCAGCAGUAAGGAAUAUUGCACAAUGGGGGAACCCUGAUGCAGCAACGCCGCGUGGGUGAAGAAGGCUUUCGAGUUGUAAACCUUUUCUGUGGGAUGAGGAAGGACAGUACCACAGGAAC